rnacentral:rRNA from 1 species
UGGGGAAUAUUGCACAAUGGGCGCAAGCCUGAUGCAGCCAUGCCGCGUGUAUGAAGAAGGCCUUCGGGUUGUAAAGUACUUUCAGUCGGGAGGAAGGUGGUAAGGUUAAUAACCUUGGCAAUUGACGUUACCGACAGCAGAAGCACCGGCUAACUCCGUGCCAGCAGCCGCGGUAAUACGGAGGGUGCAAGCGUUAAUCGGAAUUACUGGGCGUAAAGCGCACGCAGGCGGUUGAUUGAGUCAGAUGUGAAAUCCCCGGGCUUAACCCGGGAAUUGCAUCUGAUACUGGUCAGCUAGAGUCUUGUAGAGGGGGGUAGAAUUCCAUGUGUAGCGGUGAAAUGCGUAGAGAUGUGGAGGAAUACCGGUGGCGAAGGCGGCCCCCUGGACAAAGACUGACGCUCAGGUGCGAAAGCGUGGGGAGCAAACAGG